UACGGGGGGAGCAAGCGUUGUUCGGAUUUACUGGGCGUAAAGGGCGCGUAGGCGGCGUGACAAGUCACUUGUGAAAUCUCCGGGCUUAACUCGGAACGGCCAAGUGAUACUGUCGUGCUAGAGUACAGAAGGGGCAACUGGAAUUCUCGGUGUAGCGGUGAAAUGCGUAGAUAUCGAGAGGAACACCUGCGGCGAAGGCGGGUUGCUGGGCUGAUACUGACGCUGAGGCGCGAAAGCGUGGGGAGCGAACAGG
rnacentral:rRNA from 1 species